GGAGCUGUAGCUCAGUGGUAGAGCGGCAGAUUGCAACGUUUAAUAACUUAAAAUAAUAUUACUAUUAAUUAAAUAGUAAUAUCAAAAGAGUUAUAGCAGUUUAUCUGUAGGCCGCGAGUUCGAUCCUCGCCAACUCCU